rnacentral:pre_miRNA from 1 species
AUUAAUGUUUUGAUUUUUCGUCUUAUUUAAAAAAUUUUUUGAGAUAAAUAUUUUUAUUCUUAUACUAGAUGAUAAAACAUGAAUAAUACUUUAUGUGUGACUAAUUUUUUUAAUUUUUUUAUAAAUUUUUUAAAUAAGACGAAUGGUCAAAUGUUGGACACGGAAAAAC